CCGCGAUGGCCACUCCGACCGAGAUCGAGACCAUGUUCACCAUCGUAUCAGUCUUGAAACUGUCCUUCUUGAAGAGAACACCGAUGGAGUAGACCGCAACAGGCAUCAGAGCCUUGAGCAUCUGAAUGAAGGAAACCGAGAGAUAAAUAUACGCCGAGUUCGAGAACCACAGCGAGAGCGAGUACAGAGCUCCGAUUGGAACCACAGACGAGAUGUAAAGCUCACGCGACAUCGCAACGGGCUCCACCAGCUUGAGCACUCGCACUAGAAGGUAGGCAAUAGAGGAACAAAACGCCAUAUGGAUCAUAGUAAGCGAGAUCGGAAAGGGCCAGUUGUACAUCUUACGAUCGAGUAUGUACUUGUUGUACACGAUCACAGUAAAGCUGAGGAAGAUCCAAAUCCCAACAUAGGCAUAUGACAGCAGGAUCUUCUUCAUCACGCCCUCGCUGAGAGACGACGCCCCUUUCCCCAUUGUUGCAGACCUCCAAAAAAACCCUAACCCUAAUCAAGGAUUUUGGGGGGGUUUCUGUGAGAGAGAGAUGCAGA
rnacentral:lncRNA from 1 species